GAUGAACGCUGGCGGCGUGCCUAAUACAUGCAAGUCGAGCGAACAGACGAGGAGCUUUCUCCUCUGACGGUAUCGGCGGACGGGUGAUUAACACGUGUAUAACCUACCUAUAAGACUGGGAUAACUUCGGGAAACCGGAGCUAAUACCGGAUAAUAUAUUGAACCGCAUUGUUCAAUCGUUAAAUACGGUUGUUCUUGCACUUAAAGAUGGAUCCGCGCCGCAUUCACUAGUGGUGAAGGGAGCUGCUUACCAAGGCAACGAUGCGAAGCCGACCUGAGAGGGUGAUGGGACACACUGGCAGUGAGACACGGUACAGACUCUUACGGGGGGCAGCAGUCGGGGCUCUUCCGCGCUGGACCGGUGCCUGCCGGGGCCCCGCCGCGUGCGUGAUGAAGGUCUUAGGAUGGUAGAACUAUGUUAUUAGGGAAGAACUCCUGUGUUUGUCCCUGUGCUCGUAUUGCCGGUGCCGGGUCCAAAAGCCCCGGCUCCCUCCGUG
rnacentral:rRNA from 1 species